rnacentral:tRNA from 1 species
GCCGCUUUAGCUCAGGGGUAGAGCAACCGAUUCGUAAUCGGUAGGUCGUAGGUUCAAUUCCCACAAGCGGCACCA